CGGAAGGAUCAUUGUCAAAUCCUUGGGUGCCAAAUGACCUGCGAACACGUUCCGAAUACAAUAAGCGUUGACCUGCGCCCUUGCUCGGUCGGUCGGCGACUUAAUGAUUAUUCUGUUGCCGGACGCGUCGAGCAUGGAAAACGAAAUCCGGCGCGGGAAGCGCCAAGGACUAGCAAAAAAGGGAGGAUGGCCUUCCCGCGGCUAUAUCCAUCCUGGCCGCGGGGAUCAAAGGGUCUCCGAACGAAAGAUCAAUCUUUCAUACGACGACUCUCGGCAACGGAUAUCUAGGCUCUCGCAUCGAUGAAGAACGUAGCAAACUGCGAUAGUUGGUGUGAAUUGCAGAAUCCCGUGAACCAUGGAGUCUUUGAACGCAAGUUGCGCCCGAAGCCAUUAGGCCGAGGGCACGUCUGCCUGGGCGUCACGCACUGCGUCGUCCCCCCCUCACCCGUGUCCCGAAAGGGGGGCGGAAGUUGGCUUCCCGUGCAGCGUUUGCGGCUAGCCUGAAACACGGUUCCCUCGCCGCGGACGUCGCGACAAGUGGUGGUCGUCGAGAUUGUGCGCGAGUCGCCGGCAAGCUGCGUCGAGGAGAGCAUUUGGACCCCGUGCGAGAUGAGUCCUUCACCGAGGGGCAAUUUCCCAACGAUUGCGACCCCAGGUCAGGC
rnacentral:misc_RNA from 1 species